UACAGAGGGCGCGAGCGUUGUCCGGAAUCACUGGGCGUAAAGGGCGCGUAGGUGGCCACUAUAAGGCCGCGGUGAAAGUUCGGGGCUCAACCCUGAAUCGGCCGCGGCGACUGUAGGGCUUGGGCACUGUAGAGGCAGAUGGAAUUCCGGGUGUAGCGGUGGAAUGCGUAGAGAUCAGGAAGAACACCGGUGGCGAAAGCGCUCUGCUGGACCUUAACUGACACUGAGGGACGAAAGCUAGGGGAGCGAAUGGG
rnacentral:rRNA from 1 species